rnacentral:rRNA from 1 species
GAUGAACGCUGGCGGCGUGCCUAAUACAUGCAAGUCGAGCGAAGCGGGGACGGGUGAGUAACACGUGGAUAACCUCCUAUAAGACUGGGAUAACUUCGGGAAACCGGAGCUAAACCGGAUACUUAUAGAUGGAUCCGGGCUGCAUUAGCUAGUUGGUAAGGUAACGGCUAACCAAGGCAACGAUGCAUAGCCGACCUGAGAGGGGGUUAGGCCAACCUGGAAUUGGAAAACGGUCCAAACUCCACGGGGGGGAAGCGGUGGGAAAAUUUGCGCAAUGGGCGAAAGCCUGACCGGGCAACCCCGGGUGGGUGAUGAAGGUCUUCGGAUCGUAAAACUCUGUUAUUAGGGAAGCGGUACCUAAUCAGAAAGCCACGGCUAACUACGUGCCAGAGCCGCGGUAAUAC